rnacentral:misc_RNA from 1 species
UUUCUGUAGGUGAACCUGCAGAAGGAUCAUUAGUGAAGAUUUGGGCAGGCCAUACGGACGCCAAAAAAGUGUCCCUGGCCGCCUACACCCACUAUACAUCCACAAACCCGUGUGCACUGUCUUGGAGAAAGGCUUCUUGAGAAGUUAUGUGACCUCUCUUGGGGUCUUUCUUCGCUACAAACUCGAAUGGUUAGUAUGAACGUGGAACUUGGUUGGACCGUCACUGGCCAACAAACUAUACACAACUUUCGACAACGGAUCUCUUGGUUCUCCCAUCGAUGAAGAACGCAGC